rnacentral:rRNA from 1 species
UACGUAGGGUGCAAGCGUUGUCCGGAAUUAUUGGGCGUAAAGAGCUCGUAGGCGGUCUGUCGCGUCGGCUGUGAAAACUCGGGGCUCAACUCCGAGCUUGCAGUCGAUACGGGCAGGCUAGAGUUCGGCAGGGGAGACUGGAAUUCCUGGUGUAGCGGUGAAAUGCGCAGAUAUCAGGAGGAACACCGGUGGCGAAGGCGGCAUCCUGGACCGAUACUGACGCUGAGGAGCGAAAGCCAGGGGAGCAAACGGG